GGACACCAUUGGCACUGCAUUCCCUGUUGAAUGACGCCCCCUGGAACACAGCUUGGCAGUACAGAGCCUAAUAUUUGUUGAAAAGAGGCCACAGGCGAUCUACUCUCUCUGCUCAUCUUCCUGAUCCAGUGGCCUCUGAAAUCCUUCUGGCGGCUUCUAAUUGUAAACCUUCUCAUACUUGAAACCUUCCCUGUGUCAGGAUGAGGAAGCUGGUAUGAAGAGUGGGCUGAUUCCAUUUGUUUGCAGUUUAUGAUCAAAUUUGGACAUCUUAUUUCGAAGAGAUAUAAGAAAGGCACUUGAUGUGGGAUUUCAGGGUCUGGUUUUCUUUGCCUUCUCCAGUCUGUUACAUUUCCCAGAAUGGUUCCCAGUGCUGGAGAUAAUUCCUUUUCGGAGAACCUACAUUUCUCACCUGCUGAUUGCAAUUAGCCACUACCAGCUGGGGCCUGGUGUGCAGCUGAAAAGCUAACAAGAAGUGGAGACCACGCGGAACUCAGACAGGGCAUAGGAUGUGCAUAAAUAAGCAACGGUGCCUGUGUUUAUGAGAUGCUCCUGUGAAUUCGAGGCUUCCCCACCCUCUGCAUAACUCUCCCUCUUCUGGCUUUGUGCUGCACACCCCUCCCCUAACUAUAUUUUUUGUCUCUGGUUUUGU
rnacentral:lncRNA from 1 species